rnacentral:rRNA from 1 species
GACGAACGCUGGCGGCGUGCCUAAUACAUGCAAGUCGAACGCUUCUUUCCUCCCGAGUGCUUGCACUCAAUUGGAAAGAGGAGUGGCAGACGGGUGAGUAACACGUGGGUAACCUACCCAUCAGAGGGGGAUAACACUUGGAAACAGGUGCUAAUACCGCAUAACAGUUUAUGCCGCAUGGCAUAAGAGUGAAAGGCGCUUUCGGGUGUCGCUGAUGGAUGGACCCGCGGUGCAUUAGCUAGUUGGUGAGGUAACGGCUCACCAAGGCCACGAUGCAUAGCCGACCUGAGAGGGUGAUCGGCCACACUGGGACUGAGACACGGCCCAGACUCCUACGGGAGGCAGCAGUAGGGAAUCUUCGGCAAUGGACGAAAGUCUGACCGAGCAACGCCGCGUGAGUGAAGAUGGUUUUCGGAUCGUAAAACUCUGUUGUUAGAGAAGAACAAGGACGUUAGUAACUGAACGUCCCCUGACGGUAUCUAACCAGAAAGCCACGGCUAACUACGUG